rnacentral:tRNA from 1 species
AACGAAACAUUUAUUAAAGCUUCUAACUUUUAACUAAGCAUUAAAUUGUUUAU